GAAAGACCUGCAGUGCAGAUGAUGUCAUUGUUUGAAUCAGCUGACAUGUGGUUGCUAUGCUACACUGCUGCUAGCUUUGCAGGCCUCUUAAACCUUGGAGCAAGGAUACACAACAGAUCAAACAAUUAAACACCAGCUUAGCAACUCUACACAUCAGGUUGGCAGAAAUGGCAACUCUUUUAGAAAGCGGGGUGACUUGCAUAAUAAAAGCCAAGUCUAUUGAGAGAGUAAUUGCUCCCAUUGCGGCACAGGUCUGCCAUUUAAUCAUCAUAAGUGAAUGGGGGGACUCUGACGGGAAAUUUGCACAUUUAGAGGAAGAAGCUGAAGAGGUGGCGAAAGUUACUAAACAAUUGGCACUUGUUGCUUCCAGACUAGCUGAAGAGUCUGAAGAUGACAUCCUGAGAAAGGAAAUGGGCCCAGCAAGGGAGCUGGUCGUCAUUUCGGGAAACAACAUGUUGUUGGCGGCUCAGAAAUUAUGCAUUCAACCUCAGUACCCACAGCACAGAGAGGAACUCAUCGCCUCUGCUAAAGAUGUCUUAAUGGGAACUCUAAAGGUUAGUGUAAAACUGACAGCAGCAGGAACACAUCACAUCUUAGCAUAGUUUACAACCUAGAAUACAGAAUGAUAUGGCCCACAGCAAGUAUUCGUGAAAAGUGGCCAUACCCUGAGUACCUUGUAAAAAUCCAUCUUACUGAACUGACUGCUUACUUCAUUGCUUGGACUAUUGUGCAUAUUGAAUUAAUCCUUUAACUGGUCAAGAACUGCAGGGCUAUUAGGCAAACAGUAGGAAAGGAAAUAAGCUGGAUGAAAAACAUAUCUAACAACCUUUGGCUGCAUUUGAAUACAAGCCUUGAAUAGGUGUACCUUUGCCCUGAGAACUCAAACAAAAUGUGUAUAAAAUACAUUGAAAGUUAUUACAUUAAGUAGAAAGUUUUGAUAACCUGUUGAACAACAGAUUUUAACAAUGUUUCAAUGAGUUGAUUCAAAAGUUGAUGUAUACUGUAUGUGAUGGGGUCAGGUAUUAUCCCGCCGUUAGUAGGGGUUCCUUAAAUGAACUUGUUAUCUCGGAAGGAUGAGUGGCAAAACGAUCUUGGUCCCCACCCCCAACACUAUUUGUUCCUCUUUACCCUACCAGUCGCUUCACUAUAUAUCCAUGGGUAUGUGCCCUGUUCUGUGCAUACUUCUAAUCACGUCAAUACAACUUCACCUUAUUUGGGCAAGGCAGGGCUCAGGAUUUAGUUACGCGGUGGCUACUUGAGUUAACAGUGAUAGUAAAUAGCAAAUAUGAAUUAGAUAAUCCCUCCCUCCCAAGUCUUACAGAACAGGUAAGACACCCCUACUCCAAGAUACAAUUAAUUACAGACUUAAAACACUUCUAUUAAUAAACACUCUUAUACAAAAGUAUACAUUUCAAAUUACUAUAAUCAUUUAUUCUUAUAUUUGGAGAACAUAUGUUUCUGUAAAACUCUCAAUCAAUAUUUGACAAAUCAAAAAUAGCAGUGAGAAUUUCUUACACUGUUUAGUAUAUCAUUAUUUUAAAGGCAGAUCACUAAUAGCAACUUCAUUUGAUACAUUGCUUGUCAUCUUUACAAGUGAGUCUAUUAGUAUGACAAUUGUGAUGUGAAUGUUAACUCCUGUUCUCAAUUAACUGGAACAAGCUAACCUGUCCUACAGCUCUAUUUAAGACCCAGCCAUACACUCAGUCUUUGUUGAGUACAUUUUUGGAAAGACAAGGAGGGCGACUGGGAGUGUUAGGAUUUGGAGAGUUUUUGAAGGAUUGCUUGGAUUUUGGACCUGGACAGGAACGGAGAACCGUGAUCACGUGAUUGACCCUGGACUGGAUGAGGAACGGAGGAAUGGAAUAAAGACAGUUUUUCUUGCUUUUUGACCACGAACUUUGCCUUUAAGUGCCACAAUGUCAAGUAAGACCUCAGUCUUUGAUCACUUUGAGCCACGUGAAGGUAGUAAAGUGGAAAACCAUUGUGCUAUAUGUAAACAAUGCGGAACAUCUGUCUCUGGUUCAGCAAAAGCUACUUCCAACUUCAUAGGGCACCUCAAAAGAAAGCACACUGACAUCCUGGGGAGUUUGCUGAUCAAUCUGGCCAGACUUCAGACCCUAAGAAGUGGGAGGCCACAGAUCCUCGCCAAGUGAAGCUUACCAACAACAUUGUUAGCUUCAUUGCUAAUGAACUCGUGCCCCUGUCUGUUGCAGACAGCACAGCCUUUCGCGACAUCCUUAGCAUGGCUGAAUCACGCUUCACCAGGCCCAGCAGCAAACACCUCAGCCAGAAGCUACUUCCUCAAUGCACCUCCGGUGUCCAAGAUCAACGGAGGAGUCAAAUGCAGCAAGCCCAGGACAUCUACCUCACCAUAGCUCUGUGGUCAAGUAGAGAUAUGAAGUCCAAAAUUUGCAUCAUGGGCCACUUCAUUGUGAACUACACCGCUGACUAACAAGGUCACCUACCUGCUACCAAGAGUUGCUGACAUGGCUACAUCCCCUCCACCAAAGACACGCAUCAAACUCUUUUCAUAUAUGACCAACCGCUCCACUGAAACCUGCAGCAGUAUCUCCACCACAGACGCCGCUUCAGAAAUAUCAGACUACCUGAGCCAACCCUGUUUGCCAGAAGAUUGUGAUCCUCUGGCUUAUUGGAAAGGAAAACAGAUGGAGUUCCCCCAUUUAGCCCAACUAGCUUAAGCAUCUAGCCAUACCUGCUUCAUCUGCACCUAUAGAAAGACUCUUUAGUGUGGCAGGCAAAGUUUUCAGGCCUGAGUGGUGCAACCUAAGUGAUGCAAAAUUUGAAGAGCUUAUGAUGAACAGGUGUAACAGAAUUACUAAGUGAUGAUAAUCUUUAUGGCUGUAUGCAUAACUUGAUAUUUUCUUUUUGAGGCAAUACAUGGUUUAUUUUCUUUUGUAUUUGAAUGUGCACAUGCACAUUGUACUGUAAUAAAUGUAAAUUACCAUUAUUGCUGUUAAAAGUGGCAAUAACAAUA